GCGACGAGACCUUGGAAGCGUUAAGCGGGCUCUAAAGACCCAAGGUUCUUUAUUGCUCACCCGAAGAAUGAGGGUGAGGAGAGCGUUUAGCUCGUCUCGACCAAAGGGAGAGGAGGGCGAGUAAGCGAGGCGCCAACCAAGUGUCAAUAGUGGGACGUUCUGUCAAUCAGGGAAGGGACAACACCUAGAGAUAUCAUAAGUGCGAAUGCUGACAUGAGUAACGAUGAAUCAUGUGAAAAACAUGAUCACCUGCCAGUUCCAGGGUUUCUGCGUUCAGUCAAUCUAUGCAGAGUGAAUCAGUCCCUAAGGAACCCCUGAAUGGGCUUUCGUCCGAUGGGUACACAAAAGUGACGAAGUUGCCCCGACUACUAAACCAUGCAUGUCUGUUGAAGUGAAUUGGAUGAGAGUUCGAUUUUCCAACCAACCAAAUUGAAUGAAUGCAAAAGUGCACUUCUGUUAGGGUUUCAACUUCCAAGAAAAAACUUCGAAUUGGGAGGGCGAUCCUCCCGGUGAACUAACCGUACCCCAAACCGACACGGGUGAACAACUAGAGUAUACUAGGGCACUUGAGAGAACCAUAUUGAAGGAAAUCGACAAAAUGACCGCGUAACUUCGGGAGAAGGGGUGCUCUACCUCCUAUCUUUGGGUUGGGAAAGCGGCACAUACCAGGGUGUAGCGACUGUUUAUUAAAAACACAUGACUCUGCCAAGUGGUAACACAAUGUAUAGAGUCUGACACCUGCCCGGUGCUGGAAGGUUGGCAGAAGAAGUGUGAUAAGCUUCGAAUGGAAGCCCCGGUAAACGACGACAGUAACUCUAACUGUCCUAAGGUAGCGAAAUUCCUUGUGGCAUAAGUAGUGACCUGCACGAAUGGUAUAACAACUGCCUCGCUAUCUCCGACAUGGACCCAGUAAAUUGAAUUCUCCCUGAAGAUGCAGAGUACCAAUGGCUAGACGGUAAGACCCCGUGCACCUUGACUAUAGCUUCGCAGUGACAACCUCUUACGAAUGUGUGGGAUAGGUGGGAGGUGGGGAACUAUCAAUCCUGGAAUACCAUUCUUUCGUCUAAGGAUGCCUAACCGCUUCUUUCUCUAGAUUGAUUCUCAGGGCGUGACACUGCAAGCUGGGUAGUUUAUCUGGGGCAGAUGCCUCCUAAAGAGUAACGGAGGUGUGCGAAGGCAGGCGCUUUCUAUAAGCAAGCGUAAUGGUCUAAGCCUGCCUGACUGUGAGACUCACCGGUCGAACAGAGACGAAAGUCGACCAUAGUGAUCCGGGAGUCCUGCAUGGAAAGGAUUUCGCUCAACGGAUCAAAGGUACGCCGGGGAUAACAGGCUGAUGACUCCCAAGAGCUCUUAUCAACGGAGUCGUUUGGCACCUUGAUGUCGACUCAUCACAUCCUGGGGUUGAAGAAGGUCAACAGUUGUUUCUCUUGACUCUGAAGCAAAGGCAUGGGCAGCUAAACUAGUAUAGGCAUCACCCGCAUAGGCAAAGGCAAAAGUAGGAGUCCCACUACAAUUAGCAAUUGUAUAUUGCUAACGGGUUUACUAG
rnacentral:ncRNA from 1 species